ACGCGCUGCCUUUGAGCCCCCG
rnacentral:miRNA from 1 species